CAGAUCCGCUUGUUUUCAGAAAUAAAGGCAAAAAUAGGCAUUACGAUAAAAAAUAACUCAAGUAAAUAUGCAACGAAAUAACUCGAAGACAAAAGGAAAUAUUUUGGUUGGAGACCGACACGAACAGGUCCUGCACUAUAAACUAUUUACACAUUGGCAGGCAGAACAGCAUCCUUUGUGUUUCAGUAAAUCCAAACUCCACAGCAGUCUAAUGGACAUCACGACCCUCCUGUAUGUCCUGUAUAUCUUAUGUCUGGAUUCCAUCAAUGCAGCUCAACUCUCAGUCAC